rnacentral:rRNA from 1 species
UACGUAGGGGGCAAGCGUUGUCCGGAUUUAUUGGGCGUAAAGAGCGUGUAGGCGGCCAGACAGGUCAGCUGUGAAAACUCGAGGCUCAACCUCGAGACGUCGGUUGAAACCGUCUGGCUAGAGUCCGGAAGAGGAGAGUGGAAUUCCGGGUGUAGCGGUGGAAUGCGUAGAGAUCCGGAAGAACACCGGUGGCGAAGGCGGUCUGCUGGGCCAAGACUGACGCUGAGGCGCGACAGCGUGGGGAGCAAACAGG